UUAGUUUUAUAAAAAUAAAAUCUACUUAACCCUCUAAAUUUUAUAAAACCAAAGUGCUGGUGACCUUAUUGAAAAAGGUCAAAUAAAAAAAUCUUAUCGUAUGUACCAAGAAAAACUAGGGAUGACAAUGGGUCGGGUUCGGGUCGGGUAUUGGUAAUCCCAUACCCGGUUAUAAAAUCGCGUCUCAUACCCGACCCAAUACCCAUCGGGUAUUUGUCGGGUAAUUACCCAUCGGGUAUCGGGUAUACCCAUUAGUUUGUUAAAAGAUAUACAUUGGGAUUUCUAAAUACAUUUUUUUACUAUUGUAAUUAUUAUAUUAUUUUAUUUAUACAACAACUAUUAUUAAUUAAAAAUGUAUAUUAAAUACAAAGAAGAUUUAUUUUUUCACAUUAUGAACAUAGUAAAAUAAAUUACUAAUAGACAAGGGUUAAUGGAAAAUAAAAAUAUAAAUUAAAAAAAUCGGGUAUAUGAUCGGGUAUAUAAUUCGGGUAAACGGGGGGUAUCACCUAAUCCCAUACCCGACCCAUACCCGCGAAUUUUUUUAAAACUAAUCCCAUACCUGGCCCAAUACCCGUCGGGUAUCUGGUAUACCCGUCCCAUUUGUGUCGGGUUUCGGGUAUACCCGUCGGGUUCAGGUAUUUUUGCCAUCCCUAGGAAAAACAGAAGCCAGUCCCCCCCCCCCCCCCCCACCAAAUUGUAAUUAUAAUGGUAUGAACCAAAAGUUUCUUUACUCAAGCCACUCACAAUAAGUAUUAGUUAGUUACCCUCAUAAUCUUAAUUAAAUAAAUAUUUUAUUUCUAUCAACAUAUUUCCUAGGUGCUCAACACAUUUAAAAAAUAUGUAACGUUUUACAAUUUUUUUCUAUCUCUACAAUUGAUAAAUACUAAAAGUUGUAAUCGAUUGUUAUGUGUUGCACACCAAUGACGUUUUCUCUUUGUAAAAUUGAUUUAUAUAAAGAAGCUGUAAAUUAAUUUAUGUCUUAAUUUAUCAAAUUUAAAACAUCCUUCACCU
rnacentral:lncRNA from 1 species